UUUUCAAUGUUACUAAUUUGGGAGCUAAAUAACCAAAUUAGUUUUCUAUUUCAAUAAUUUUUUUUAAUAUCGUGAAUGUAAUAUGUUGUUAUCCAGUACUUAUUUAGAUCUAAAUUAAUUUUUAAUUUUCAUAAAUUAUACAUAAAGACUAAUGUUACAAGGCACUAUAUGAUGACUAACAUCACUUGAAGUGUUAUGUGAUGAUUGGUUAAAUUUCAUUACUUUGAUAUUUUAAAUUAUAAACAUGAGACCUGAUUUUAAAUGGGAAAUUUGCUAUUAUACGCUAAAAAAUUAAACAAGUUAAAAAAUUAAACCUAAAAAAUAAACAUAGGAAAAUUAUCCUACUUUUUCAAUUUCUUUCCCAAAUUACCCCUCACUUUUCAACUUCCCCCAAUUUUAUCUAACUCUCUUCUCUCUUCUCCUUCUCUAACUCCCUUCUCUCUCUCUCUCUCUCUCUCAGACCAAAAAAAAACCACCACGGCUUGCAGUCAGCCGGACCUCCACCCACCACGACCUCAGCCAGACCUCAGCCGGACCUCCCACACACUCAACCGACCUCCACAUUCAUUUUUCUCACCCAAAAGCAAUGGAUUCAACUGUAUUUGUGCCUAUAUUGUAUGAUGGUGUUUGGGCUGUCGAGGGUUUCAACUAGUAUUCAAUUCCCCAACAAGUAAGAUGUUGAUGUUUGACAUUGACACUACUCUGGAAAAGUUGCGUGAAGUUUUGUAUGAAGAGUUGGAUGUGGAUCCUUUGGUUUAUGAACUGAAAUUAGAAGUCUGUUACAUGUACAUGAAGUAUGUUACAUUUGGGCGAUAUUGUGCAAUUAUUUAGGGAAAUAAUGAUAGUUUAUGGCAUUUGUGUUGUUUUGCGAUAUUGAGCGAUAUUAAGCAAUAUUGAGCGAUAUUGAGCUAUUUGAGCGACAGUCAAGGUACUCAUAGUUUUAGCGAUCUUUGUGCGAUGUUUGUGCGAUUAUAUUGGAUAGGUUUUGCGAUUUUAAUUUAAAAACCUUAUACAUUUUUUCUGCGAUUCAUUGCGAUGUUUGUGCGAUUCAUAAUUGUAGUUUUGCGAGUUCUUUUGCGAAAUUUGUGCGAUUAAUAAUAAUUCCUAUUUUUAAAAAUGCAGAUGGCUCCAGAGCUCGUUCUCCCAUUGUCCGAGCAUUUUCUAGGGCGUAUCACCUACAGAGAGAACGGGUACUUCACUGCUAUAAAGGAUAAGUUCGAAGCCUUUAAGUUGACUGAUAAGGUGAAGGAAAGUCCCUUCGAAUCUUUUUAGAAUGUCAGUGUUCUCCGGGGUGAUUGUGCAUCAACUGUUAUUGAGGAAAAAGAAAAUCAGUGAAGUUAAAAACAAUGAAGUGUGGUUUAACGUGGGUAAAACGAAAGCCAGAUUUGGGAGGUCUGAGUUCAGUUUGAUCACAGGCCUAAAGAUGAGUGGUGGCCCCUCGACAGCAGAAUUGAAUACAUGUAACAGACUUCUAAUUUGUACGAUAUUGAACGAUAUAUGUGCGAUUUUAAAUUUGUACGACUUUAUUUGUACUUUUUUCUAAUUUAAAAGGCACAUUUCAUGUACAUGUAACAAACUUCUAAUUUCAGUUCAUACACCAAAGGAUCCA